GCCCUUUAACAGAAUCACCCUGAAUGUACCUGACCUCAUCUGAUCUUGGAAGCUCGGCAGGGUUGAGCCCGACUCGCACUAGAAUGUUACACUGACUUGGAAUACCCAGUGUGGUGAGCA
rnacentral:rRNA from 1 species